AGAAGCAGGCUGGCAGGAACAACCAGAGGGACUUCCCUGACUGACCCCGCGUUUGCUCAGCUUUGAAUUCCCGCUCGGUAGAUCUGUCGCAAUUUAACCAGAGGUCACCCUGAAGAGAGUGUCAGAAUCCCUGGAACCAGAGUUACAGAUGUUUAUAAUCCACCAUGUGAGUGCUGGGAAUCAAACCUCUGAUAACUCAGAAACCUAUCCUGUUCGAUACAUCCAGAGCGGGAUUCAUCACCUUCUCUGCCUGCUUGGUAUCUGUUUCCGUAUCAGGUAGAGUUGACAUUCACCCCAGAUAUUAGUCACCCCCACAUGGACUGUCAGGUCUACUCUGUCAGAAACCAUAUUUACUAUCACUGUGUUGGUUCAGAUCUUAGCUC
ensembl:processed_transcript uncharacterized LOC110321096